GGGUCAUAAGCUGUCAUAGGAGGCCAAUCCACAAUUGGUAUGUCAUGUUAUUGGAUGUAUUUUUUAUCAAGUUCAGAUUUGUAUCUUUUAUUAUUUUGAUGAUUAGCAUUGGAAAUGUAAUGCUAGUUCGAUCUAUUGUAAGUUGUCGAUCUAUUGUUAGUUUUCGUGGUAUUGUGCUACAAUAUAGCGAGACCUUAUAUUGACGACCACUAGAUAUGUAUGAAUAACAUAGUAUUUAUUUAUGAUAACAUACUUAAAUGUUAUUGUAAGUCUGUAUCAAUUUAUAUUAUUGUAGAAUAUUGUUAUUGUUAUUUCAGGGCUUUGACAACUUUGCGACGCCUUUGUGAUUUCUCUGAGACGCUUUAAAUAAGCUGUUUAUCAUAGUUAUUUCCAGAGAUUGUAUUACAAUUAUGUAAUCAUUAAAAGUUAUAGUGUUGAGGGAAAACUAAAUUAAAUGGACAUGUAAUGAACCCAGCUUAUGUGUUGUUUGUAUAUAUUCAUUUUUAUAAUAUAAGGAACACAAUUGCAAGCCACAAAUGGCGCCCAACGUGGUUAUAUUUUAGAUUUCUCUCAUUUAAGAACUGAACAUUAAUUUAAAAAAAAAAUAAUAAAAAUAAAUGAGUAUUGAUGAUUGUUAAAGAUUGUGGAAAAUCUUUGGUUGUAUGGAGGACGUACAGCUUAUUCGGUAGCCAGUGGUCGGAGCAGUUGGCGUGUGCAGUGGAGCAAUCCAGGUGGCAUUCUGAGCGAUCAUUGGGAGCAACGAGCGAUUAUUUGUUGGGAGCGACGAGCGAUCUUUAGGAGCGAGUAGAACAUCAGUGCCUGCAAAGUGACUGGAGCGUGUGACAUUGACAUUACCGUGUGAUUGAGAAAAACACAUUUGUAUUUUCACAGCACUGGGCAUCAUCUGCAGUCAAGACUGGGGUCAUAAGCUGUCAUAGGAGGCCAAGCCACAAUUGGGCUUUGACAACUUUGCGACGCCUUUGUGAUUUCUCUGAGACGCUUUAAAUAAGCUGUUUAUCAGUUAUUUCCAGAGAUUGUAUUACAAUUAUGUAAUCAUUAAAAGUUAUAGUGUUGAGGGAAAACUAAAUUAAAUGGACAUGUAAUGAACCCAG